rnacentral:rRNA from 1 species
UGGUGGGUAGUUUGACUGGGGCGGUCUCCUCCUAAAGAGUAACGGAGGAGCACGAAGGUCAGCUAAUCCUGGUCGGACAUCAGGAGGUUAGUGCAAUGGCAUAAGCUGGCUUGACUGCGAGCGUGACGGCGCGAGCAGGUGCGAAAGCAGGUCAUAGUGAUCCGGUGGUUCUGAAUGGAAGGGCCAUCGCUCAACGGAUAAAAGGUACUCCGGGGAUAACAGGCUGAUACCGCCCAAGAGUUCAUAUCGACGGCGGUGUUUGGCACCUCGAUGUCGGCUCAUCACAUCCUGGGGCUGAAGUAGGUCCCAAGGGUAUGGCUGUUCGCCAUUUAAAGUGGUACGCGAGCUGGGUUUAGAACGUCGUGAGACAGUUCGGUCCCUAUCUGCCGUGGGCGCUGGAGAAUUGAGGGGGGCUGCUCCUAGUACGAGAGGACCGGAGUGGACGCAUCACUGGUGUUCGGGUUGUCAUGCCAAUGGCAUUGCCCGGUAGCUAAAUGCGGAAGAGAUAAGUGCUGAAAGCAUCUAAGCACGAAACUUGCCCCG